UACAGAGGUCUCAAGCGUUGUUCGGAUUCAUUGGGCGUAAAGGGCGCGUAGGCUGCGGGGCAAGUCGGGUGUGAAAUCUCAGAGCUCAACUCUGAAACUGCACUCGAUACUGCUUUGCUCGAGGACUGGAGAGGAGAUUGGAAUUCACGGUGUAGCAGUGAAAUGCGUAGAUAUCGUGAGGAAGACCAGUGGCGAAGGCGGAUCUCUGGACAGUUCCUGACGCUGAGGCGCGAAGGCCAGGAGAGCAAACGGG
rnacentral:rRNA from 1 species